AAGCAGUUUGAGAUGCAGUCCCCACCUACACAAGUUUCCUCCAUGUUCCGCUUUUCCUAGCUGCUGUUUCUGCGCUAUAAUCUUGUCAUCCAUUUAUUCCCCCCACCAACAGUUAUUGAGCACCUACUGUGUACCCGGCUCUGUUCUGGGCUCAAGGGACACAGAAGAAAUAUAACAGAUAAAGCUCUCUGCUAUUCUGGAGCAUACAAUCCGGGGGAAGACAGAAGAGAAAAGGGACAACAACCCAGGAGGCCACUGCUGGGUGAGAUAAGUGUUGUGAAGGAGAAAGUAAACAGAAGGAUGUAAUAGGACAAGGACACUCCGCUUUGGAUAAGCCUUCAGAUGACACUGCAGCCUCAGCUGACGUGUGGAUGGCAGCCCAUGGAAGACUCUGAAGCAGAGAACCUGGUGAAGCCACGUCUAAUUCCUGACCCACAAAACUCACUAUUCACAAUAGCCAAGGCAUGGAAACAACCUAAAUGUCCAUCAACAGAAGAAUGGAUAAAGAAGAUGUGGGACAUAUAUACAAUGGAAUAUUACUCAGCCAUAAAAGGGGACUAAAUAAUGCCAUUUUCAGCAACAUAGACGGACCUAGAGAUUAUCAUCUA